UGAACGCUAGCUACAGGCUUAACACAUGCAAGUUGAGGGGCAGCAUGGUCUUAGCUUGCUAAGGCCGAUGGCGACCGGCGCACGGGUGAGUAACACGUAUCCAACCUGCCGUCUACUCUUGGACAGCCUUCUGAAAGGAAGAUUAAUACAAGAUGGCAUCAUGAGUCCGCAUGUUCACAUGAUUAAAGGUAUUCCGGUAGACGAUGGGGAUGCGUUCCAUUAGAUAGUAGGCGGGGUAACGGCCCACCUAGUCUUCGAUGGAUAGGGGUUCUGAGAGGAAGGUCCCCCACAUUGGAACUGAGACACGGUCCAAACUCCUACGGGAGGCAGCAGUGAGGAAUAUUGGUCAAUGGGCGAGAGCCUGAACCAGCCAAGUAGCGUGAAGGAUGACUGCCCUAUGGGUUGUAAACUUCUUUUAUAAAGGAAUAAAGUCGGGUAUGCAUACCCGUUUGCAUGUACUUUAUGAAUAAGGAUCGGCUAACUCCGUG
rnacentral:rRNA from 1 species